rnacentral:rRNA from 1 species
GACAUAGGUGGCGAACGUUAUCCGGAAUCAUUGGGCGUAAAGAGCGUGUAGGCGGUCCGGUAAGUCCGCUGUGAAAGUCGGGGGCUCAACCCUCGAAUGCCGGUGGAUACUGUCGGGCUAGAGUGCGGAAGAGGCGAGUGGAAUUCCUGGUGUAGCGGUGAAAUGCGCAGAUAUCAGGAGGAACACCUAUUGCGAAGGCAGCUCGCUGGGACGUAACUGACGCUGAGACGCGAAAGCGUGGGGAGCAAACAGG